rnacentral:rRNA from 1 species
AUAAAAUAUAUUAGCGGAACUAAGUAAAUUAUUAUUUUGAUUUAAUUUUUUAAAUAAAGAGUUAAGAGUAAAAUCUUUAAAUUUUUAAAUGAAAAAUUAUAAGGAAAUAUGAUAAUCUUUAAAAAUAAGGUCUUAGACUAGGAUUAGAUACCCUAUUAUUCUUUAUUAAAUUAGUUGCUUGGGUAGUAAAGAUUUUUAAACCUAAAGAAUUUGGCGGUACUUCAUUCUUACUAGAGGAACCUGCUCCUGGAUCGAUAAUCCACGCUUUAAAUGUACAUGGAUUUGUUUUCAGUUUGUAUACCGCCGUUGUCUGAUUAUUUUUAAAGAAAUAUAAUCUAAUUAGUUGUUAUACUAGGACUUCAGGUCAAGGUGCAGCUUAUGUUUAUGGGGGUAGUGGGUUACAAUAAAUUAUAUUUACACGGAUCAAAGCGGGUAAGCAAUUUGUGAAGGUGGAUUUAGUAGUAAAUUAAUAAUAGGAUUUUUAAUUGAAAUGGGCUCUGAAGUGUGUACACAUCGCCCGUCGCUCUCUCCUUAAGGAGAGAUAAGUCG